rnacentral:rRNA from 1 species
GGACCCCACUGCUAUCGGGAUAGGACUAAGACAUGCUAGUCGUGUGACUCAGGCAAAACGAGUCACGGCACACAGCUCAGUAACACGUGGCUAAUCUGCCCUUAGGACGAGAACAACCCCGGGAAACUGGGCUAACUCUUGAUAGGCAAAGAACUCUGGAAUGAGUCUUUACCUAAAUAGAUUUACGUUAUCCUCGUGAAUCUGCCUAAGGAUGAGGCCGCGACCGAUCAGGUUGUUGGCGAGGUAAUGGCUCACCAAGCCUUUACCGGUGCGGGCCGUGGGAGCGGGAGCCCGGAGAUGGGUACUGAGACAAGGACCCAGGCCCUACGGGGCGCAGCAGGCGCGAAACCUCUGCAAUGCGGGAAACCGUGACAGGGGGAUUCCAAGUGCUCAUGCAUUG